rnacentral:rRNA from 1 species
GACGCACGCUGGCGGCGUGCUUAACACAUGCAAGUCGAGCGGCGCGGCGAACGGGUGAGUAACGCGUGAGUAACUGCCCCCCUCUCUGGGAUCACAGUUGGAAACGGCUGCUCAUACCGGCUAGUGGGGGAUGACACGCGUCCUAUCAGCUUGUUGGUGGGGUAGUGGCCUACCAAUGCGACGACGGGUAGCCGGCCUGAGCGGGCUACCGGCCACAUUGGGCUGAGAUACAGCCCAAACUACGACGGGAGGCAGCAGUGGGGAAUAUGGCACAAUGGGGGAAACCCUGAUGCAGCAACGCGCAUGCGGGAUGACGGGCUUCGGGUUGUAAACCGCUUUCAGCCAUGACGCGGUAGUGACAGAAGAAGCACCGGCUAACUACGUGCCAGCCGCCGCGGUAAUAC